rnacentral:lncRNA from 1 species
UUUUUCAUGAUUUUGAUUAAAUUUGAAAAUUUAGAUGUUAUUUGAAAUACUCUAUUUUAAAAAUUCAUGUGAAUUUCACAUGAAAAAAAUUUACGUGAUUUUCAUGUGAAAUUCAUAUGAUUUUCACAUGAGAUUCACAUGAAACUCACAAAAACUGAUUUCACGUGAGUUUCACGUAUAAGCUCGUUUGAGGUGAAAUUCAUGUGAAUUU